CAAAAACAUAACCUUUAGCCAAACAAGUAUUAAAGGCAACGCCUGCCCAGUGAAUAAUUCAACGGCCGCGGUACCCUAACCGUGCAAAGGUAGCAUAAUCAUUUGUCUAUUAACUGUAGACCUGUAUGAAUGGCAAAAUGAGGGUUCAACUGUCUCUUAUAAUAAGUCUAUUAAACUGAUCUCCCAGUAAAAAAGCUAGGAUACCCCCAUAAGACCAGAAGACCCUGUGAAGCUUAAACUAAACUAUUAAACCCUAUAAUAACUACUUUCGGUUGGGGCGACCUUGGAAACAAAAAUAACUUCCAAUACACGUGUUUCACCACACCCAUUAGGCCUACAAGCCAACAAACGACCCAGUACUACUGAUAAUAGAACAAAGUUACUCCAGGGAUAACAGCGCUAUCUUCUUCAAGAGCCCAUAUCAAAAAGAAGGUUUACGACCUCGAUGUUGGAUCAGGACAUCCUAAUGGUGCAACCGCUAUUAAGGGUUCGUUUGUUCAACGAUUAAAGUCCUACGUGAUCU
rnacentral:rRNA from 1 species